UCAUACAAAAGGUCGACCAAAAAUUUUAACUUUUAAAAAAAAUGAAAAAAUUUGGCCAAACAGGUUAUUAUACUUGGAUCGUUUUAAUACAGAGAACAUUUUGUACCUUUCCUUUUUUUGGUCAAAAACAUUUAACAAGGAUCAAUAUUCCUUGUUAAAAAUAAAAAUUAAUUUCGAAGUUUCAUUGAUAUUUAGAGGAAAUAAUCACACGUAGAAUCAGUUGGCUGGACAACAUAACAAAGAAGGACCAUAUUACAAAUCCUAUAGUAUGCUACUUUAAUCUCCCCUCAAUAUUGUAAGAAUAGCACGGUAUAUUCAGUUUUUACACUGGUCAAUCAAGAAUAGCAAACGUUUACUAAGUUAAUAAAAAAUAACCAUUAUUUUGCUGUAAUAGAGACCGGUUCCGUAUAAUAUACGGGAGUUCGGUGCAUUUAUGUGCGAACUCCAGCAUAUUAUGAUAGACCGGUAUACUUGCUCUCUCGUGUAUAAUAUACGGGAGACUGGAGCACCGGUGCUCCAAACUCCAGUAUAUUAUACUAGACAUUUAUACUUGCUGGAACUCCAGUAUAUUAUGCAGGAGUUACAGCAUUAUUAUACUUGAACUCCCGAUUCCAGCAUAGUUAUCCUGGAAGUCCCUGAGGGAGUUCAAGUAUACUUUUGCUGGAACUCCUCAAAUUUAUUUUUACAUGAAAAGUGACGAAAUUUUAAUUACUUUUAAAACUGGACUAUUUUUGAUUGACCAGUUCUAAAUGCGGCUAUAUUUAAAUUUCUCCCCUCAAUAUUCUCCAACUUAUUUAAUUGCAGCCAUUUAAAGGAACUGCUCUUUCAUGAUUUCAUGUGCACAACUUCGUUUUUUGAUUGUUCUAUCUAUUUUGAUUAUGUCUCUGUCUCUCGAACAAUCUUGACAGGUUUAAACAUUGUUGGGUGAAUUAAAAUAAAAAUUAAAAACUCUAUUAUUGGAAAUUUUAAAAGCUUAAGAACUCAUAAAAGAAUUGUGUUAUUAGUUGAAAUUUUUAACAAAUUAAUGAUUGGAGUUAGUUGGGAUAUCAUUUUGAAGUUGUGGUUAAAAUUUUAAGUUAUUCAGUGAAGAUUUGAGCUAUUUGAUGAUAUUUUUUGUGAGUUGAAAUUCAUAGAAGACGGAACUCAAUUGUAUUGGACAAAUUUGGUUCCCUACGCCCGAAUAUUAUCUACAUACGUCCUGAAGAAAGCUACCUCAUUAUGGUCGACUCAAGCGAGGCCGGCCUGAGUCAAUAAACGGACCGAGUGACAUGACUUGCUGCGACGUCACAUCAAACUCUGAUACUCGUAUACCGAGGCCACAAACCCGUGUACUUUCUUUGUAUUAUUUCAAGGAAAGUUCCUUAGUAUAUAAAGGGGACCUUCCCUUUGUAUAGACUUAUGUGUAUCUUACUACUGAAAAUAUACAACUCUCUCUAUCUGAUUCUCUCUCUCUCUCUCUUGUGCAAAAAGUCUUAUAUUUACCUUAUUGCUCUUAUAUCUCGAUUCAACUUUGCUACUUCAAGAUCCGCCCCUUCUUUCAAAAAUUAAAAAACAGCGCUAACGAGCAAGAAAACGGAUGCGCUAAGGCGCAACUUCGCGCAGCUGCUACGCCCUUGCUUCUUGCCUUAUCUUACUUAGUAAAAAGUCAGUCGUCUUUGCCCAAGUGUGAACUGCAGAUGUCCCUCCAGUGGUUCCAUUACUUCUUACUGUACUUCUGGGUCAACCCAACCCGAAUGGAAGAAGAGGGUCAGCCAAACUGCGGUUCACUUUGUACGUUUGCUGAGCAGACCUCUCAGGCAUUUUAGAAAAGGGAAGGGAACUUCUCACCCCGAGGGAGGCGGGAAGCGGUAGCUUCUAGAAUGGAAGCUUCUCCUUUACUUUUUUAGAGCGUAUCGCUAUUUUGAAAUAAAAAAAAGGUUUAUGGAUGAAGUAAUCGGAAUGACAAGUGGUUACGGUUGCGGAAAGCGGAGAAAGUCGGGAACCGUCGGUUACCUUUUGAAUCAAAGUAGCGACAAGCCGAGUAUUACGACUACAGGGGGAGAAGCAAAGCUUCGUAGACAGCUUCGCUUCCUCCUCGCUUCUUUCCUGGCGACUAGCUUCUCAAGUGGGCGGCUUGGUAAGCAAGCUAUCUUCAGCAUCGGUAAAAUCCCUAUCUUGCGCAUCUUCUCUUUGGCACUCAUCCUUGGCUUGGGCAGUGUUCUCUCUCUUCUGUGUCAGGGAAGGAAGGAUAAGAGUAAGAGCAAUCGGCCGAAUGAUUGUUAUUCGACUUACGGUUACAGUGUCUCAAUCGAAGCAGAACAAGUCUAAUACUCCAGCCCUGGUUUUCGGGAAUGUAAUUUCGAUCUAAACCCGGAAACCUAUAUCUUUAUAUACGAAAUUACUUCGUCCUUUUUUGGCCCUUUUUCAUUAGGGGGGUCUCCUUACCUUCGGUCUCAUUCAAGACCUGAUCAAGGGAUUUCCCCUUUUGACUUUUGGUGUAUAGGGCUUUUCUUUUUGUUCCCCUUUGUCAAGCAAUCGAAAAGAGACCAGAACCACGUGAAGAAAGGUUUCAUAAGCAAACAUUAUUGUGGAAAUCAAGGGAGAGUGCCGUUUUAGAAAAGAUACAAUAGUUUCCGAUUCCCCCGAGCUUAAGAGUCAAUUACGGGGGGUAACCGAUCGAUUAACUCAUUUCGGGGUUAACCUGUCGAUCAACUCUAGGCUGAGCUUCUAGUGAAAAACUAAAGCCCUACCUUAUAGAGUUUAAUUUUGCUGUUUUGCAAUAACUUGGAUUUUUUCUUCACUUCAGCUUUGAGAAGAUUUUAGCCACCAGGGACCGGAUCAAUAAGCACCUUUGGGCGGUGCUUUCUCGAUCAACUAUAUAACUUAUUCAGAACGACGAUGAACCAAGACAUGAAGAAGUGCAAUGCAAAAGAAUGCCUUCUUUCUGGAGGCCUCGGGCAGUGGAAGAUGAACAAUCACUAAGGAAUAGCUUGAACUAAGAGGAAGUGAAGUAAUACUUGUCCAUUUCCCCGGUAUUCAUUGAAGACUUUGCACGUACCCCUGCUAAUUCUUUUUCUAAUACUAAGGCCGCAUAUCUGUACUCAUUAGUAGGAAAAAGCUCUUCACUUCAAAACAAUCAAUCAGGACUGGCGCCGUCCGCAUUUCUUCUGACUAUUUGAAGUGGAAGUUCAAGCUUUGAAGCUCAUUUUCCAGCAUUCCUUUCAAUUCUUUCAACCGAUUUGGCAACUUUCAGCUAUACAAAGUUAGGUGAUUUACUGGGUCAACAUUUAUCUUGAUUUCGGCCUUUAUUUUCUUCCUUGGAAACGAUUAACCUGACCGGCUUGAAACUUGAUUUGAUUAUCUAAGGAAUCCGAGCCAAUUGAAAACUAUAUUUUUUCAAACGAAGACUCUUCUUUUUAGGAAGACGAUUCCCGGCCAUUCUUCGAAGCUGAUUUGAAAACAAAACAUUCGUUCCGUGACGUGAGGCUCCGGCUUAAAACUUUGAAACUAUACCAAAUCAUACUUGGCAACUGAAGCAGGGAGGAGAAGAGCCUGAAAGGGCGAAACCUCUCUUUUCAAAAGAAAGAGACCCGCCAAAAAACAUUGCCCAAUUCUCUCUCUCGAUCUAGAUAUACUUUACUGACAAGAGCUCUUAAUGAAUUACCAAUGAGUUUGAUUCUAACUAUUCAAAGCAGAGGAAAUAGAAUAUAAAAUAGCCAUGCUCGACCAUCAGAGAUCCGUUCAUUACGAAUGUUUUUUCUCAAUGUGGACCAAGCUCCGACUUUCUUUUUAGCUUUGGCUCGGAAAAGGUCAGCCUUUGAGCCCGUAUUGGAAGGGGAUCUUGGUUUUUUUAUUAUAAAAGAAACCCCAGGAUUUACGUCUUAUUCCCGAGGAGAUAUUUGAUCUCCCUAGUCUAGGGACUUCUUCUAAGGGCCCCUUAUUUAUAGAAUGGUAAUGUGCUAAAGGAUAGCUUAGGUACUGCAGUUGGUUUGGAAUUUGACUACCUUAAUAUCAGAAAUCAAAUACAAUAUAGAAUCCAAGUCCAAUACUUGAGUGAUAAUUUUAGAGAAGUAUCCUUCUUGGCAAGGCAAACAACCUUUGCCAAAGUUCCGAGGGAAAGAUAGAUCUGAACUAACACAAUCACUAUAAUCAUCCCUCUUGUAUGUGUAUAAGUUUUUCGAUGAAAAGAGGGGAUUAUGAUUCCCUAGGAGCGUGUCAGAAAGAUGGGUACGCGAAGUGAGUAACGGUUAAAUUCUCCGCCACAAGCCCUCUGAAGCGAGGAUGCACACUGCUUUAAAUAGAAAGCGCAAUGCAACAUCCCCGAACGUCGGGCCGUCCUCAUUACCGUAAGAGCAAACAGGUAAGCUCCAAUACAUAACUCCUUAGUACGUCAGCGGCUAUCAAGAUCGCUUUGUUAAGCAGUGACCUUAAUAACCGAGAGUCUUCUAAAACUCUCUGCCACAAACUAAAGAAUUGAAUUACCUUGCGUCGGUAUCAUUUUUUCGACAGCUUUUUCGUAGACGUUCACUUGCAUCACACUAUCAUCAACCAACCUCCACCGGAGAAGCCCAUGGUUUCCAAGUUAGUCUUCAGGCCAUAAAGUCUGCAUUUCCUCUUAGUGUGAGAAAGCCAGGUCGAGAUCUAGUUCUAUUUAUCAAUCAAAGAGUUAGAAAGCUAACUUUAAGCAGGCCAGUCUAAGUUUGACUUUGUCGCCGGGAUUCCAUCAUCAUUGUACCCCGGGGCUGAUUAAUUAGGUUAAGGAAAAUAUGAGUUGCUCCUCUUUCUAGGGAUCUAAUGGUCGUAGAGCACCUUCUUGUGACUAUAAGAUUAAUGAAGUAGCAACUAAUGCAAAAACAACCAAUUGGAAAGCAAGAGUCAUGCUUUUAAUCCUCCAAGCUACCAACAAAUGAACUAUAUACCAUUUGAUCCCUCUAUCAGCCAAAAAAUAUUAAUUGUGAUAAAAUAUGUCAUCGACGGAUUUUACUUUAUCAUGAAUCCAUUGAUUCUAUAUGACUUAUUACUACUUCCCCAUUUCGCACUUUAUUCGUACAUGGAGUGGGGUGGGGGGAAAUGGAAACUUAUUUUUCAUUUCACAAAUGGGCAUGCUAGAUCAUAUAUCUAUAUAUGGAUAGAUAGAUCGACCGGUGGAUUCGCACCUGAGAUCUUUCUAUAGAUAGUGGGGGUAUCCACCCCUAUGGCCAUGUUCUAUUCGGAAGAAUAAAAUAAAAAUAGACUUUCGGAGAGAUGGCUGCCCCGGUCUUGAAAACUGGUAUAGUUUUAACAAAGAACUAUCGAGGGUUCGAAUCCCUCUCUUUCCUUUUUUGCUAAUUGAAUAGAUUUUUUUCUUUAGUGGUUUUGUCCAACCUGCUAUCCGAAAGAAAAGGGAAUGGCUCGUCUGUCCCAUCUAGCCAAUUCAGAAAAAUAAAUUAGAUAAAAUGAAUUGAAAAAAAAAGAAAAAAGAAAUAUUUAGGCUGAUUUCAAGAUGUAUGAUUGAAUCAAAGUGAUUUUUACUUCAUUCAAGCAUUGGAUCUCUUGUCUCAUCUCAAUUAAGAGGGGUCAUGGAAAGAACAGGUUCAAAGUCACGAUCAAUUCCCUUUUCAAUUCCUGCUGCAGCUGCACGAGCCCUUCCCGCGUGCCACAAAUGACCUACGAAGAAGAAGAAUCCUAGAACAAAAUGAGAGGUAGCUAACCAACUUCUAGGAGAGACAUAACUGACUACAUUGAUCUCGGUAGCUACACCACCCACGGAAUUUAAAGAACCUAAAGAAGCAUGAGUCAUAUAUUCUGCGGAACACCGUUCCUGCCAAGGUUGUAUGUCUUUUUUCAACCAACCUAAGUCUAACCCAUUUGGACCCCUUAGAGGCUCUAACCAUGGAGCACGCAGAUCCCAAAAACGCAUAGUUUCUCCUCCAAAAAUGACUUCUCCGGUCGGGGAACACAUUAGAUAUUUACCUAAACCAGUAGGUCCUUGAGCGGAUCCCACGUUAACCCCAAGACAUUAGUCUCUGACUAGAAAAGUAAAUGCCUGAGCUUGAGAAGCUUCUGGUCCAGUAGGUCCAUAAAAUUCACUAGGAUAAGCGGUAUUAUUAAACCAGACAAAACAACAAGCAAUGAAACCAAAGACGGAUAAUGCCCCUAAACUAUAAGAUAAGUAAGCCUCUCCAGACCAUACAAGUGCGCGUCGAGCCCAUGCNNNNNNNNNNNNNNNNNNNNNNNNNNNNNNNNNNNNNNNNNNNNNNNNNNNNNNNNNNNNNNNNNNNNNNNNNNNNNNNNNNNNNNNNNNNNNNNNNNNNNNNNNNNNNNNNNNNNNNNNNNNNNNNNNNNNNNCCAUACAUGUCCUCCGAUUAUAUCUUCUAAAUCGUCCACACUAACAAUCCAUCCUUCCCCUCCAAAAGGGGAUUUUAGUAAAUAAC
rnacentral:lncRNA from 1 species